UCCACUGCCAGUGCCAACUCUCACCAAACAUGAACUGAAAAAAUGCCUCAAGUGCCUUUUCAUCCACUGGCACAUUAAAUGCUUCCUCUCCAAGCACUUCAAAUCCUUUCCUGCCUCAGUGGAAGAGUUGAGCUCUUCUUCAACAGCAUCCAUCCAUGAUGAGCCUGUCCUGCACUGAAGCCUAUAAACACCUCAACCACUGUCCUGCACUGAAGCCUCUGAACACCUCAACUCAUGCCUCAUACCCUCAUUCACAUCACUGUUGUGAUCCCUUCCCAACACUGUCUCUCCAAAAAGAUCUGCUUAGGGAGUAACAGGCAUCCUGGUCUCACAGCCGGCCAUCUGAGCUGUGCUUUCAUGAGCGGUGAUGGAAUGCUCAACAUGUCAGCACGGCUAAGGACUUCAAUGUCUGUGAUUAUAUCCUGCCAUUUGAUCCUUAAGAGCUACCUCAAACUGUUUUGGUGUAAGUGAUUAAGCUUCCUGGCAGGGCAUUGGUAGACUGUCCAGAUUUUUCAGCCAUAAGGGUUGGUAUUGUAGGCUUGGGCGAAAUACCAUUUAUACCGUAUAUGGGGGUAUUUCGGAAUACCAACGGUAUGAGUUUAAAUACCGUCAAAAACGUGACUUAAUUUUUUGGGGGUUGGGGGCAGCCCCGCA